GAUGAACGCUGGCGGCGUGCCUAAUACAUGCAAGUCGAGCGAACAGACGAGGAGCUUGCUCCUCUGACGUUAGCGGCGGACGGGUGAGUAACACGUGGAUAACCUACCUAUAAGACUGGGAUAACUUCGGGAAACCGGAGCUAAUACCGGAUAAUAUAUUGAACCGCAUGGUUCAAUAGUGAAAGACGGUUUUGCUGUCUCUUAUAGAUGGAUCUGCGCCGCUUUAGCUAGUUGGUAAGUUAACGGCUUACCAAGGCAACGAUGCGUAGCCGACGUGCGAGAGUGAUCGGCCACACUGGAACUGAGACACGGUCCAGGCUACUACGGGAGGCAGCAGUAGGGAAUCUUCCGCAAUGGGGGAAAGCCUGACGGAGCAGCGCCGCGUGAGUGAUAGAGGUCUUCGGAGCGUAAAACUCGGUUAUUAGGGAAGAACAAAUGUGUAAGUAACUAUACACGUCUUGACGGUAACUAAUCAGAAAGCCACGGCUAACUACGUG
rnacentral:rRNA from 1 species